AUUCAGUUGACGAGUCCCAAAUGGGACGAAACACGUGUACUGGAU
rnacentral:hammerhead_ribozyme from 1 species